rnacentral:rRNA from 1 species
UACAGAGGUCCCGAGCGUUGUUCGGAUUCAUUGGGCGUAAAGCGCGUGUAGGCGGUUCGGUAAGUCCGCUGUGAAAGUCGGGGGCUCAACCCUCGAAUGCCGGUGGAUACUGUCGAACUAGAGUGCGGAAGAGGCGAGUGGAAUUCCUGGUGUAGCGGUGAAAUGCGCAGAUAUCAGGAGGAACACCAAUUGCGAAGGCAGCUCGCUGGGACGUAACUGACGCUGAGACGCGAAAGCGUGGGGAGCAAACAGG